rnacentral:rRNA from 1 species
UACAGAGGUCCCAAGCGUUGUUCGGAUUCACUGGGCGUAAAGGGUGCGUAGGCGGCCAACUAAGUCAGACGUGAAAUCCCUCGGCUUAACCGGGGAACUGCAUCUGAUACUGGAUGGCUUGAGUUCGGGAGAGGGAUGCGGAAUUCCAGGUGUAGCGGUGAAAUGCGUAGAUAUCUGGAGGAACACCGGUGGCGAAGGCGGCAUCCUGGACCGACACUGACGCUGAGGAGCGAAAGCCAGGGGAGCAAACGGG